AAUGAAUGAUGACUAUGUAGAUUUAAUAAGGCAAACAAUAAUACUCAUAAGAAUGACAUAUAGAAGGAUGACUUUGUUGUGGUCAUUCAGGGAGAGAGUGAAGUUAAUGCUAAUGAGGAACAUUUAUCAUAAAAAAGCUCUCUGAAUGAAGAAUAAAUAAUAUGAGACACUUAUAAUGAUUUGAAUAAGGAUUUUGUGAUUGAAAAAGAUAUAGCUAAUGAUAGAAGGGAGAAACAUGAUCUUAUGGUUGUCGAAAAUAGUGGUAAGCAUCUGGUGUGAGAUCCUUGUGAUGGUUUGCAUUUGGAGAAGAAUAAUAACUUAUGUGGGCGAUGAAGAUAAUCAUCCUGAGUCACAUUAGGAAGAAUUUAAUUUGGUUAAGAAAAGAGGUACGAAGGAGGAAUAAACUUACUUAGGAUAUAAUGAAAAUCAUUACCCGAGCCAUGUCAAGUAUACACAACACCAUUAAAUGGAAGCCAUUCAUUGGAAUGCUAGAGAAGUAGGAAACUUAGAUACUAAGCUAGCUAUUAAAAAUAUUUAUGAUCAAUAGAAGCCUGAUUUGCUUUUGAUUGUUGAACCAAUGAUUCCUUAUACAUAUCUUCCUGCUAAGUGUCUUGAACAAAUCAAACUUAAGAGAUUUGCAUUACAUUUUAAACCAAAUCAUAAUUCAAACACAUGGGCUUUUUGUGCAAUAGAUAUGAAUCCCUAUAUGUUAAUUUUUUUAAACAUGUAAAUUUAUCUAUAGAAAUGGAUCAACUAAAUUCUUCAUUAUAGCUGUAUAUGAAAGUAACUCCCAUGUGAUUCAGAGACAAUUAUGGAAUGAACCUACCAAUCUUCAACAG
rnacentral:lncRNA from 1 species